rnacentral:tRNA from 1 species
UCUAAUGUGGCAGACAAGUGCAAUGGAUUUAAGCUCCAUACAUAAAGACUAACCUUUUAUUAGAA